rnacentral:rRNA from 1 species
UGAGCGCGGGAAGCAAGCUGAUCCUCUUCGGAGGUGACGCUUGUGGAACGAGCGGCGGACGGGUGAGUAACACGUGGGCAACCUGCCUGUAAGACUGGGAUAACCCCGGGAAACCGGGGCUAAUACCGGAUAAUACUUUUCAUCACCUGAUGAGAAGUUGAAAGGUGGCUUUUAGCUACCACUUACAGAUGGGCCCGCGGCGCAUUAGCUAGUUGGUGAGGUAACGGCUCACCAAGGCAACGAUGCGUAGCCGACCUGAGAGGGUGAUCGGCCACACUGGGACUGAGACACGGCCCAGACUCCUACGGGAGGCAGCAGUAGGGAAUCUUCCGCAAUGGACGAAAGUCUGACGGAGCAACGCCGCGUGAGUGAUGAAGGUUUUCGGAUCGUAAAGCUCUGUUGUUAGGGAAGAACAAGUGCCGUUCGAAUAGGGCGGCACCUUGACGGUACCUAACCAGAAAGCCCCGGCUAACUACGUGCCAGCAGCCGCGGUAAUACGUAGGGGGCAAGCGUUGUCCGGAAUUAUUGGGCGUAAAGCGCGCGCAGGCGGUCCUUUAAGUCUGAUGUGAAAGCCCACGGCUCAACCGGUGGAGGGUCAUUGGAAACUGGAGGACUUGAGUACAGAAGAGGAGAGUGGAAUUCCACGUGUAGCGGUGAAAUGCGUAGAGAUGUGGAGGAACACCAGUGGCGAAGGCGACUCUCUGGUCUGUAACUGACGCUGAGGCGCGAAAGCGUGGGGAAGCGAACAGGAUUAGAUACCCUGGUAGUCCACGCCGUAAACGAUGAGUGCUAGGUGUUAGGGGGUUUCCGCCCCUUAGUGCUGAAGUUAACGCAUUAAGCACUCCGCCUGGGGAGUACGGCCGCAAGGCUGAAACUCAAAAGAAUUGACGGGGGCCCGCACAAGCGGUGGAGCAUGUGGUUUAAUUCGACGCAACGCGAAGAACCUUACCAGGUCUUGACAUCCUCUGCAAUCGGUAGAGAUACCGAGUUCCCUUCGGGGACAGAGUGACAGGUGGUGCAUGGUUGUCGUCAGCUCGUGUCGUGAGAUGUUGGGUUAAGUCCCGCAACGAGCGCAACCCUUGAUCUUAGUUGCCAGCAUUUAGUUGGGCACUCUAAGGUGACUGCCGGUGACAAACCGGAGGAAGGUGGGGAUGACGUCAAAUCAUCAUGCCCCUUAUGACCUGGGCUACACACGUGCUACAAUGGAUGGAACAAAGGGAAGCAAAACCGCGAGGUCAAGCAAAUCCCAUAAAACCAUUCUCAGUUCGGAUUGCAGGCUGCAACUCGCCUGCAUGAAGCCGGAAUCGCUAGUAAUCGCGGAUCAGCAUGCCGCGGUGAAUACGUUCCCGGGCCUUGUACACACCGCCCGUCACACCACGAGAGUUGGUAACACCCGAAGUCGGUGAGGUAACCUUUUGGAGCC